UACACUCCUGCGGGAGGCAGCAGUGGGGAAUAUUGGACAAUGGGCGCAAGCCUGAUCCAGCCAUGCCGCGUGAGUGAUGAAGGCCCUAGGGUUGUAAAGCUCUUUCACCGGUGAAGAUAAUGACGGUAACCGGAGAAGAAGCCCCGGCUAACUUCGUGCCAGCAGCCGCGGUAAUACGAAGGGGGCUAGCGUUGUUCGGAUUUACUGGGCGUAAAGCGCACGUAGGCGGACUAUUAAGUCAGGGGUGAAAUCCCGGGGCUCAACCCCGGAACUGCCUUUGAUACUGGUAGUCUUGAGUUCGAGAGAGGUGAGUGGAAUUCCGAGUGUAGAGGUGAAAUUCGUAGAUAUUCGGAGGAACACCAGUGGCGAAGGCGGCUCACUGGCUCGAUACUGACGCUGAGGUGCGAAAGCGUGGGGAGCAAACAGGAUUAGAUACCCCGGUAGUCCCAUGA
rnacentral:rRNA from 1 species